rnacentral:rRNA from 1 species
GACGAACGCUGGCGGCGUGCUUAACACAUGCAAGUCGAACGGAAAGGCCCUGCUUUUGUGGGGUGCUCGAGUGGCGAACGGGUGAGUAACACGUGAGUAACCUGCCCUUGACUUUGGGAUAACUUCAGGAAACUGGGGCUAAUACCGGAUAGGAGCUCCUGCUGCAUGGUGGGGGUUGGAAAGUUUCGGCGGUUGGGGAUGGACUCGCGGCUUAUCAGCUUGUUGGUGGGGUAGUGGCUUACCAGGGCUUUGACGGGUAGCCGGCCUGAGAGGGUGACCGGCGACAAUGGGACUGAGAUACGGCCCAGACUGCUACGGGAGGCAGCGGUGGGGAGUAUUGCACAGUGGGGGGAAGCCAGAUGCAGAAACGCCGCGUGCGGGAAGACGGCCUUCGGGUUAUAAACCGAUUUCGACUGUGACGAAGCGUGAGUGACGGUAAUGGGUAAAGAAGCACCGGCUAACUACGUG